CAAAAACAUCGCCUCCUGCAACACAACCAAGUAUAGGAGGUCCAGCCUGCCCAGUGACUACAAGUUCAACGGCCGCGGGAUUUUGACCGUGCAAAGGUAGCGCAAUCACUUGUCUCUUAAAUGGAGACCUGUAUGAAUGGCUAAACGAGGGCUUAACUGUCUCCCCCCUCCAGUCAGUGAAAUUGAUCUAUCCGUGCAGAAGCGGGUAUAAUAAUACAAGACGAGAAGACCCUUUGGAGCUUAAGGUACAAGAAUCAGCCACGUCAAGCAACUUAAUAAAGAGCAAAAACUUUGUGGACAAUGAUUUUUUACCUUCGGUUGGGGCGACCACGGAGGAAAAAAGAGCCUCCAGGUGGACUGGGAAAACAUCCUAAAGCUAAGAGAGACAUCUCUAGGCCGCAGAACAUCUGACCAAUCAUGAUCCGGCUGACAAAGCCGAUCAACGAACCAAGUUACCCUAGGGAUAACAGCGCAAUCCUCUCCCAGAGUCCAUAUCGACGAGGGGGUUUACGACCUCGAU
rnacentral:rRNA from 1 species